rnacentral:lncRNA from 1 species
GUAAAAAUAAAGAGGAGAACACCUCCCAUGUGUAUACGGACUCCCACCAGGGACUAUAUUGUGGUAUAACAAUUUUAUUUGGUAUUUCACCUACGAUGUUUAGACAUAUCUCAGACAAUACGACUACUAAUGACUCAAUCAUUGAUUCGGCAACUAACCAAUUAUGUUACUAAUCAUGGGCCAGAUAUAACUAUCUAUUUACAGCCCACUACAAACUCAUAACUCUCAUGUUCUGAUAUUGAAAUCGACGGAAGUUAUCACUUAACCGUAACUCCGUCUUAUGUAAAGGGA